AAUGUCAUACGUGUCAAAUCCAUCAAUGUUUUAUUUACUUGCCGACCUUUCGUGUUUUACAAUUUUGUAUUCAAUAAAAUAAAAUAAUUGAUUUUAUGCCAGUUAGAUUUAUGCCUAUAAAUAUUUAGGAAAUUUUCCUCUCGAGCUUUUACACCACACGUGUUGUAUUGUUACACUAUUAGCAAUGGAAAAUAGUAACGGAGAAAUUUACAAUUUUAAUGGGCUAAAAGAAAAGCCAGAAGAAUUACUUUUACUUGUUGAUAAAUAUGUUAGGGUUCAACUCAUUAAAAAUUCAACAUUCACAGGAUUUAUGCAUUCUAUUGACCCUAUAUCGUAUAGUAUGAUCUUGUCUGUGCCUCAAGAGAAUAAUGAAUUCAAGACUAUUUUAAUACCAGGACAUGCAAUAUUGGAUAUAAUGGAGGUAGAAGCAAUUCCAGAUAGAAGUCCACCCAUUAGAAAAUCGUUUGAGUCUUCAAAGGAAGAAACAUCUAAGAAAAAAGACAAAAUUAUAGCAUGGUUGAAAUGGAAUAUGUUGCCUGCAUCAGAAAGCGGGGACAAAAUUAUAUUUGGGAAUGCUAGUCUGUUACCUCCUUACAGCGACAGAGAUAUUUGCACAGAUAACCCAAUAGUAGCUAUGCAAAUGAGAAAAAUGAUUAAAUCAAUGCCGCAAAAUUUUGGAGCGCCUGAAAAUUAAAAAUAUUAAAUAAAACUUCUGUUACAUUUAUAGAUUAAGUCUAGUUAAAGAUAUUGUACUCAUAAGAUAUUUCAAUUACUUAAUAAAGACUGAAUUUUUAAAAUUA